ACCAUGAGACAUAUCCAAGAUGAAUUUUCAUUGAAAGAUCAAAAAUUGUUAGGAGAAUCAACUAUAUUCAAUCCGAUCUCUUAAUCAAUCUUUGAUAUUUUUUGAGAUUAUUUUUAAUAUUAAAUACUCAAAUUAACUUGUUAAGUCAUAGUUGAUUUUAGAUAUGUUUGUUAACAUUCUCUAAUUUCAAAGUCCAACAA
rnacentral:lncRNA from 1 species